rnacentral:snRNA from 1 species
AGCUUUGUGCUUUGGCAGUAUUGUAGCCAAUGAGGUUUUUUCCGAGGUGCAACUGUUGCUAAUUAAAAACUUAAGAAAAUAUCACACC